CCUACGGGCGGCAGCAGUGGGGAAUAUUGGGCAAUGGGCGCAAGCCUGACCCAGCAAUGCCGCGUGAAGGAAGAAGGCUUUCGGGUUGUAAACUUCUUUGACAGGGGAAGAGCAGAAGACGGUACCCUGAAAAUAAGCCUCGGCUAACUACGUGCCAGCAGCCGCGGUAAUACGUAGGAGGCGAGCGUUAUCCGGAAUGACUGGGCGUAAAGGGUGCGUAGGUGGUUUGGCAAGUUAGUAGCGUAACUCCAAGGCUCAACCUUGGAACUACUACUAAAACUGUUGGACUUGAGUGCAGGAGGGGCAACCGGAAUUCCUAGUGUAGCGGUGGAAUGCGUAGAUAUUAGGAGGAACACCAGUGGCGAAGGCGGGUUGCUAGACUGUAACUGACGCUGAGGCACGAAAGCGUGGGGAGCAAACAGGAUUAGAUACCCGAGUAGUC
rnacentral:rRNA from 1 species